rnacentral:rRNA from 1 species
GGAUGAACGCUGGCGGCGUGCCUAAUACAUGCAAGUCGAACGAAUCUCUUUUAGAGAUGAGUGGCGAACGGGUGAGUAAUACAUAGGUAACCUGCCCCUGUGCGGGGGAUAACAGGAGGAAACUCCUGCUAAUACCGCAUAGCCAUGAGCACCGCAUGGAGCUCAUGCCAAAUAUCCUUUAUGGGAUAGCGCAGGGAUGGACCUAUGGCGCAUUAGCUGGUUGGCGGGGCAACGGCCCACCAAGGCAACGAUGCGUAGCCGGCCUGAGAGGGCGGACGGCCACAUUGGGACUGAGACACGGCCCAGACUCCUACGGGAGGCAGCAGUAGGGAAUUUUCGGCAAUGGGGGAAACCCUGACCGAGCAACGCCGCGUGAGCGAAGAAGGCCUUCGGGUCGUAAAGCUCUGUUGUAAAGGAAGAACGGCGCAUACAGGAAAUGGUAUGCGAGUGACGGUACUUUACCAGAAAGCCACGGCUAACUACGUGCCAGCAGCCGCGGUAAUACGUAGGUGGCGAGCGUUAUCCGGAAUCAUUGGGCGUAAAGAGGGAGCAGGCGGCCGCAAGGGUCUGUGGUGAAAGACCGAAGCUAAACUUCGGUAAGCCAUGGAAACCGGGCGGCUAGAGUGCGGAAGAGGAUCGUGGAAUUCCAUGUGUAGCGGUGAAAUGCGUAGAUAUAUGGAGGAACACCAGUGGCGAAAGCGACGGUCUGGGCCGCAACUGACGCUCAUUCCCGAAAGCGUGGGGAGCAAAUAGGAUUAGAUACCCUAGUAGUCCACGCCGUAAACGAUGGUCACUAAGUGUCGGGGGUCAAACCCCGGUGCUGCAGUCAACGCAAUAAGUGACCCGCCUGAGUAGUACGUUCGCAAGAAUGAAACUCAAAGGAAUUGACGG